AGAUUUAUCUAAGAAGACAGCUGUGUGGUCCUGGAUCCUUCUCCAGUCUCGUGGCACUGCAGAUACACGCUUCUGGCUUCGUGAAUAACGGUCAGUUACCCACUUUGUAAAGAACCCAACACGGAAGUAGCAGUCUGCCCUGGAAAACCUUUGGUAGGAGAAUAAAUGAGAGCAGACUCAAAUAUGGCCUACGGUAAUAUUCCUCAGUCUUUUAAGUAGUUCUCUUUGAGAGUGUGAUACUUUUUUAAUGUGAGAUUUUAUUAGUAAAAAGGUAAAAUAAUUUAAAAAUCGGUGGAGUUUUGCAUCAUGACUUUUAAAUUAUACCUGUCAAUAUUUGCUUGUUUUCUUAGUAUGGGUUUAAAAUUAAUUAACAUUAAAAUUAACAUUUAAUAUUUACAUAAUAAAUAGUAAAAACUGAAACACC
rnacentral:lncRNA from 1 species